UGCUGAGAAAGUUCUGUUCC
rnacentral:piRNA from 1 species